rnacentral:tRNA from 1 species
GGACCCGUAGCUCAGCCAGGAGAGAGCGUCAGCUUCCGGAGCUGAGGGUCGGGGGUUCGAAUCCCCCCGGGUCCG